CGAGAAGUAAUCGGACAUCACUAAUUGAGCAGUUCGUAGCCACAAACAACAUAGCAACCGUUGACAUUGUGAUUUUUUUUCCAAAUUUCCGUUUCGUAUUUUUGGUUUUAGCUGCCGUUACCUGACAGAAUACUGGAAAAAUUACUUGAAACCGAAUAUUUCUGAAAAAAACAAGCAGCAUUUCAAGUUUUAUUAUGUGAAAACCCAGAUCCUAUUCAAAAAGUUUGCAAAUCUCAGUGAAAGCGAAGUAAUUACAGUGCAUCGAAACCUUUGGACAAAAUGUAUUCCACGAAUGGUCUGGUAGCGGACGAGCUCCAGGCCUCUUGGUGUUGGAAAAACCGGCAAUGGUUCCGCUCGAUUUUAUUCUGCUACAACGGAUGCAAGAUGUGAACAUAUUCCUGUACGAGAAUCCAUCCGAAGUUUACGUACAGCGAGAAGUGUACGAGCAGCGAAAUUGUUGCGCUGCGAAUGGUUCCUCAUCAUAGCAACCGAUGACAUUGUAAUAUUUUUUCACAACUUUCAAGAUGUAAGAAAAAUCACCUAGAAAAAUCAAUUGUUCCGAAGAUGUGACUGGUGCAGCUUUGGAUGGAUAAAAUCAGUUUUCAAUAGUGUGAAUGUAGAAAUCCCUUUCCGAAGCACAAUGUCCAUGAGUACGGCGACAGUGCAGUGCAAUUCGUACUGCUUGUGGGACAAACCCAACUACUGGUACGACAAGGAUAAUUGGAGUAUCUUAGCAAAAUUCUCAGCAGAAAUAACUCCAAGAUACAGUUGCUGCAAAUGGUUCUUCAUCAUAGCAACCGUUUCACAACUUUCAAGAUGUGAGAAAAAUCGCCAAGAAAAAUCUAUUGUUCCGAAGAUAUGACUGGUGCAGCUUUGGACAGAUAAAAUUAGCUUUCAGUACCUUCACAGGGUUUCUACAUGACGACAUGAUUAAUGGCUGCUAUCUGUGCUACUGCCACAUUCGGAAGAAUUCUCGAAGGUGCGAAUCCAGCAAUCGUUUUCCGAAGCACCAACAAUUUCCCUGAGCACGGCGUCAGUACAGGAUAAUUGGAGUACCUUAGCAAAAUACCUCCAAGAUAGCGGCUCAUUCAAACGUUGAUUAUGCAGACCUACCACUGCCUUACAAAUGAAUCUAAUGAAUAGAAUAAUCAGUUUAAAUUUAACCUGUCCUGCAACGGAGCUUUGCACGUAACAAAGCUUUCCCGGACCCCCGUUUGCUGGUUCCUUCGGAAUUACCAGGUUCGUUCUUGGCCGCUGACAGAACAAUUAGAUAAAAUUUGCCAUCUCAUUCAUUCUUAUGUGGUAGCUGCGCCGCAGGAUCGAAUCUUGGAUGAUCUGUUGUACCCGCACCGAUUCGUGUUUCGUUGGGAAUCUUGAAAGGAAGGUGACUAUGAUGUCGCACACGAUCUAAUUCGCUCAGCCAGGCCGCAUUUCGGAGACCCACAUCUACAGUGACUACAAGAUCGUCAAUGAGGAUGUCAGCUGUUAGCUCGAGGAUCAGCUAGAGGAUCUGUUUAAUACAUAAGCAAUGGUUGAUCGAGUUUGCGCCAUACACUAAGGACUAGAUCAAGGAGAAAAUCUACUUCGUGCUCAAACUAGCGGUCCUACGAAAUAGAAGAUGGCUGAAGUGAAGCUGGAUUGCGUGAGUUGGGUGACAGUCAACCCGAGAGAAUGGAAAAGUACAAGUGUAUAAUGUGAUAACAAUGGAAAAAGGGUUGAAUAAAACGGCAGAAAACAAAAAGAUUUUUUUCUUCAUCGUACCAGAAACCACCCAAGCGCUACAUUCGGAAUGUGACUGCUGCCAAAAGUCGGUUUUGAAGUUUCCGGAAGGGAUAGUGAAAGGUUUGGCGGAACUCGGACAGCGGUGGAGGAGGAGGAGGAAGAGAGAUUGGAAGAACUCGGAGCGGUCGCAGAACCAGGUGGAAUUCCUGCCGGAUGACAUCGGUAUAGACUAGCCAUGCUAGGUCAGAACCGGCUGCACACGGCCAGAAAACUUCCCAUCAAAUUAAUAAAAUAAAAUAAACGCGAAUAAAGUUUCAAUUUAUU